rnacentral:rRNA from 1 species
UACGAAGGGGGCUAGCGUUGCUCGGAAUCACUGGGCGUAAAGGGCGCGUAGGCGGGCUCUUAAGUCAGGGGUGAAAGCCCAAGGCUCAACCUUGGAAUUGCCUUUGAUACUGAGGGCCUUGAGACCGGAAGAGGUCGGCGGAACUGCGAGUGUAGAGGUGAAAUUCGUAGAUAUUCGCAAGAACACCAGUGGCGAAGGCGGCCGGCUGGUGCGGUUCUGACGCUGAGGCGCGAAGGCGUGGGGAGCGAACGGG